UCGGCCUGAGGAAACUAGUGGAGGACUCCAAAGGGAUCGCAUUGAUCUGGCUAGCUAUCUCGAUCGAUCGCCUCAUCGAUCGACGACGACGUGCGUGAUCGAUCAGUGCAAUCCCUUUGGAAUUUUCCUCUU
rnacentral:pre_miRNA from 3 species